UCAAACUUGGUCAUUUAGAGGAAGUAAAAGUCGUAACAAGGUUUCCGUAGGUGAACCUGCGGAAGGAUCAUUAAAGAAAUUUAAUUGAGGCGAGAUUAGAAUUAGAGAGCCAUUUGGGAAUGAGUAGUUGCUUUGGCCUGCGCUUAAUUGCGCGGCUAGCAAUUAUUAAUUCUGUUAACAGAUGGACCAACUUUCUGUUCCUAUUCUUGUUUUCUUCUACACACUGUGGAGUUUUCUACACUUUACUUCUUCUUUGGGGGAUUUCGAUUUCCCAAAGGUGACAAACACAAACAAUUUUGCAAUUUAGUUUUAUACUAGUCAAAACCAAUUUCGUUAUGAAAUACAAUAUUUAAAACUUUCAACAACGGAUCUCUUGGUUCUCGCAUCGAUGAAGAACGCAGC
rnacentral:misc_RNA from 1 species